AGAGUUUGAUCAUGGCUCAGAAUCAACGCUGGCGGCGUGCCUAACACAUGCAAGUCGAACGCGAAAGGGGCUUCGGCCCUGAGUAGAGUGGCAAACGGGUGAGUAACACGUGGGUGACCUGCCUUCGAGUGGGGGAUAACGUCCCGAAAGGGACGCUAAUACCGCAUGACAUCCUGCUCUUGGACGAGCGGAGAUCAAAGCCGGGGAUCGCAAGACCUGGCGCUUGGAGAGGGGCCCGCGUCUGAUUAGCUAGUUGGUGGGGUAAUGGCCUACCAAGGCUUCGAUCGGUAGCUGGUCUGAGAGGACGGACAGCCACACGGGGACUGAGAUACGGCCCCGACUCCUACGGGAGGCAGCAGCUAGGAAUCUUGGGAAUGGGCGAAAGCCUGACGCAGCAACACCGUGUGAGUGACGAAGGCCUUCGGGUUGUAAAGCUCUGUUGUUGGGGACGAAGGGCGAAGGGUUAAUAGCCCCUAGCCUGACGGUACCCUUCGAGGAAGCCCCGGCUAACUACGUGCCAGCAGCCGCGGUAAUACGUAGGGGGCGAGCGUUGUCCGGAAUUAUUGGGCGUAAAGAGCGUGUAGGCGGUUCGGUAAGUCUGCCGUGAAAACCUGGGGCUCAACCCCGGGCGUGCGGUGGAUACUGCCGGGCUAGAGGGUGGUAGAGGCGAGUGGAAUUCCCGGUGUAGCGGUGAAAUGCGCAGAUAUCGGGAGGAACACCAGUAGCGAAGGCGGCUCGCUGGGCCAUUCCUGACGCUGAGACGCGAAAGCUAGGGGAGCGAACAGGAUUAGAUACCCCGGUAGUCC
rnacentral:rRNA from 1 species